rnacentral:misc_RNA from 1 species
GAAAUGCGAUAAGUAAUGUGAAUUGCAGAAUUCAGUGAAUCAUCGAAUCUUUGAACGCACCUUGCGCUCCUUGGUAUUCCGUGGAGCAUGCCUGUUUGAGUAUCAUGAAAUCUUCAAAGUAAAUCUUUUGUUAACUCAAUUGGUUUCUACUUUGGUAUUGGAGGUCUUUGCAGCUUCACACCUGCUCCUCUUUGUUCAUUAGCUGGAUCUCAGUGUUAUGCUUGGUUCCACUCGGCGUGAUAAGUUAUCUAUCGCUGAGGACACUGUAAAAGGUGGCCAAGGUAAAUGCAGAUGAACCGCUUCUAAUAGUCCAUUGACUUGGACAAUACUUUUAUGAUCUGAUCUCAAAUCAGAUAGGACUACCCGCUGAACUUAAGC